rnacentral:rRNA from 1 species
AGCUUGCUAUCUGAUGGCGANCGGCGCACGGGUGCGUAACGCGUAUACAACCUACCUAUUACUGAGGGAUAGCCCGAAGAAAUUUGGAUUAAUACCUCAUAGUAUUAUAAGAUGGCAUCAUUUAAUAAUUAAAGGUUACGGUAAUAGAUGGGUAUGCGUCCUAUUAGCUAGAUGGUGAGGUAACGGCUCACCAUGGCAACGAUAGGUAGGGGUCCUGAGAGGGAGAUCCCCCACACUGGUACUGAGACACGGACCAGACUCCUACGGGAGGCAGCAGUGAGGAAUAUUGGACAAUGGAGGCAACUCUGAUCCAGCCAUGCCGCGUGUAGGAAGACGGCCCUAUGGGUUGUAAACUACUUUUGUACGGGAAGAAAUACAGUCACGUGUGAUUGUUUGACGGUACCGUAAGAAUAAGCACCGGCUAACUCCGUGCCAGCAGCCGCGGUAAUACGGAGGGUGCAAGCGUUAUCCGGAAUCAUUGGGUUUAAAGGGUCCGUAGGCGGGUAAUUAAGUCAGUGGUGAAAUGCAGGGGCUCAACUCCGGCACUGCCAUUGAUACUGGUUAUCUUGAAUUAUUGUGAAGUGGUUAGAAUAUGUAGUGUAGCGGUGAAAUGCUUAGAUAUUACAUAGAAUACCGAUUGCGAAGGCAGAUCACUAACAAUAUAUUGACGCUGAUGGACGAAAGCGUGGGGAGCGAACAGGAUUAGAUACCCUGGUAGUCCACGCCGUAAACGAUGGUUACUAGCUGUUUGGAUCGAUUGAGAUCUGAGUGGCCAAGCGAAAGUGAUAAGUAACCCACCUGGGGAGUACGUUCGCAAGAAUGAAACUCAAAGGAAUUGACGGGGGCCCGCACAAGCGGUGGAGCAUGUGGUUUAAUUCGAUGAUACGCGAGGAACCUUACCAGGGCUUAAAUGCAGUAUGACAGAUUUGGAAACAGAUUUUUCUUCGGACAUAUUGCAAGGUGCUGCAUGGUUGUCGUCAGCUCGUGCCGUGAGGUGUCAGGUUAAGUCCUAUAACGAGCGCAACCCCUAUUUCUAGUUGCCAGCUCAUAAUGGUGGGGACUCNUANANAGACUGCCGGUGCAAACCGUGAGGAAGGUGGGGAUGACGUCAAAUCAUCACGGCCCUUACGUCCGUGGGCUACACACGUGCUACAAUGGUAGGGACAGAGAGCAGCCACUUCGCGAGAAGGAGCGAAUCUACAAACCCUAUCUCAGUUCGGAUCGCAGUCUGCAACUCGACUGCGUGAAGCUGGAAUCGCUAGUAAUCGCAUAUCAGCCAUGAUGCGGUGAAUACGUUCCCGGGCCUUGUACACACCGCCCGUCAAGCCAUGGAAGCUGGGGGUGCCUGAAGUCGGUGACCGAAAGGAGCUGCCUAGGGUAAAACUAGUAACUGGGGCUAAGUCGUAACAAGGUAGCCGUACCGGAAGGUGCGGCUGGAUCACCUCCUU